GAUGAACGCUGGCGGCGUGCUUAACACAUGCAAGUCGAGCGAGAAGACUUUGAUAGAUCCUUCGGGUGACAGAUGAGUUGGAAAGCGGCGGACGGGUGAGUAACGCGUGGGCAACCUGCCCCAUACAAGAGGAUAGCCACUGGAAACGGUGAUUAAUACUCUAUAAGACCACAGCACUUCAUGGUGCAGAGGUAAAAACUCCGGUGGUAUGGGAUGGGCCCGCGUCUGAUUAGCUAGUUGGUAAGGUAACGGCUUACCAAGGCGACGAUCAGUAGCCGACCUGAGAGGGUGAUCGGGCCACACUGGAACUGAGACACGGUCCAGACUCCUACGGGAGGCAGCAGUGGGGAAUAUUGCACAAUGGGCGAAAGCCUGAUGCAGCAACGCCGCGUGAGCGAUGAAGGCCUCGGGUUGUAAAACUCUUUCAGUAGGAUGAUAAUGACGGUACCUACAGAAGAAGCCCGGCU
rnacentral:rRNA from 1 species